rnacentral:lncRNA from 1 species
GGGGUGAGUUCUUUCUUCUUUUUUUACCAGUUUUUCCAGUGUUUAGAGUUGUCUCAAGGAAGAACUGUGAUGUGCGUCGUGACAGGGCAUAGAGCCAGGAAUUCGAGCUCAAGUGUGGCCAUUUCUGCUUGGAAUGUAAGUGUGUUACAAAUCCUUUCAUACGUUCAAAGUUUCGAAGUUUUUCAUACCUUCCAUCAGAUACGAGAUUGAUAGCACCGAGGCAGAAAGAAAGGAGCAAGAUGCUAAGCUAAGGUAACGAGCAAGUUUCCGAAGAUCCCAUACGCAAAAAAACUAAACUUUCCUUGGAAACUCGCCUGCAGGAAGGAAUACGAAAAGAUACGAAGCUACUGCCAAGAAAUCAAGCAAUCACUCACGUCCAGAAGAGAAGGAGAGCAUCAACAAGAUGGCAUGGAAGAACAAGAAGAAGAAGAACACAA